rnacentral:rRNA from 1 species
AUUGAACGCUGGCGGCAUGCUUUACACAUGCAAGUCGAACGGUAACAGGCCGCAAGGUGCUGACGAGUGGCGAACGGGUGAGUAAUGCAUCGGAACGUGCCCAGCCGUGGGGGAUAACGCAGCGAAAGCUGCGCUAAUACCGCAUACGAUCUAUGGAUGAAAGCGGGGGACCGAAAGGCCUCGCGCGAUUGGAGCGGCCGAUGUCAGAUUAGGUAGUUGGUGAGGUAAAGGCUCACCAAGCCAACGAUCUGUAGCUGGUCUGAGAGGACGACCAGCCACACUGGGACUGAGACACGGCCCAGACUCCUACGGGAGGCAGCAGUGGGGAAUUUUGGACAAUGGGCGCAAGCCUGAUCCAGCAAUGCCGCGUGCAGGAAGAAGGCCUUCGGGUUGUAAACUGCUUUUGUACGGAACGAAACGGUCCGGGUUAAUACCUGGGGCUAAUGACGGUACCGUAAGAAUAAGCACCGGCUAACUACGUGCCAGCCGCCGCGGUAAUAC